AGUAACGCGUGAGGAACCUGCCUCAAAGAGGGGGACAGCAGUUGGAAACGACUGCUAAUACCGCAUAAGCCCACGGCUCGGCAUCGAGCAGAGGGAAAAGGAGUGAUCCGCUUUGAGAUGGCCUCGCGUCCGAUUAGCUAGUUGGUGAGGUAACGGCCCACCAAGGCAACGAUCGGUAGCCGGACUGAGAGGUUGAACGGCCACAUUGGGACUGAGACACGGCCAG
rnacentral:rRNA from 1 species